CUCCCGGUGUCCAAAACCGGGAAUACUGAAGAGGCACACCUUCCUUGCCUGAAGUGCGGCGGGUUCAAGCCCUCUAAUCCAUGGCAGACCGAUACCCGGAGCCGGUGCACGAGUCGUGCCGUUUUCGGACCCAUCGCGUCGCGCGAGCGAUUCCUAUCCG
rfam:Fulvimarina pelagi HTCC2506 scf_1100011000323 genomic scaffold, whole genome shotgun sequence.